rfam:Intestinimonas butyriciproducens strain AF211, complete genome.
GCCUUAUCAAGAGUGGCGGAGGGAACGGCCCGAUGAAGCCCGGCAACCUGCGGUGAAGCGCAAGGUGCCAAAUCCGGCGGCAGUGAUCGAAAGAUGAGGA